rnacentral:misc_RNA from 1 species
GCGGGGAGUGGGACGUUAGGUAGCGUCGAGUCUNGUAGACGUGAGGGCGUGUGAGAUGCGAUUGGGUUGUUUGUGCUGUCUGGCUCCGUGUUCAUGGUCAUCGAACUGCUAGCAUGCAACCCUUUUCAUGAUUGCCUUGUGCCGUUGGGCCUCGGUGUUCACUUGCGGUUCCUGUGUUGCAUACCUGUUUAGCGGUAUUCAUGUGCCUCUUAAGACCCGUUCCGUCCAGACCCCUUCUAGGAGGUUGUUGGCGGAUUCGAAAGUGAUGCGUGUUAUGCGUUAGUCGUGUGUUGUAAUGGCUCACGUUCUCACAUGUGUCUAUUGUUCCCUUGGAUGCGGUGCAUGCGGUGAAACGUGGUGCGCUGGAUGUGCUGCGUUGAGUCCCUUUGAUAAUAUCGGUUGCCUUAGAAAGACACUUUGCCGUAGUGCCGGUCUUGCUAUCCCAUUGGUGGUGGCAACACUUGCUUGCACGUCGAGCAGAGUCGUCAGUGGGUGCUACCUGGUUGAUC